AUUGAACGCUGGCGGCAUGCUUUACACAUGCAAGUCGAACGGUAACAGGGAGCUUGCUCCGCUGACGAGUGGCGAACGGGUGAGUAAUGCGUCGGAACGUGCCGAGUAGUGGGGGAUAACGCAUCGAAAGGUGUGCUAAUACCGCAUACGAACUGAGGUUGAAAGUGGGGGACCUUCGGGCCUCACGCUAUUCGAGCGGCCGACGUCUGAUUAGCUGAGUCGGUGAGGUAAAGGCUCACCAAGGCGACGAUCAGUAGCGGGUCUGAGAGGAUGAUCCGCCAAACGGGGACUGAGACGCGGCCCAGACUCCUACGGGAGGCAGCAGUGGGGAAUUUUGGACAAUGGGCGCAAGCCUGAUCCAGCCAUGCCGGGUGUCUGAAGAAGGCCUUCGGGUUGUAAAGGACUUUUGUCCGGGAGCAAAUGCUGGUGGCUAACAUCCACCGGAGCUGAGAGUACCGGAAGAAUAAGCACCGGCUAACUACGUGCCAGCAGCCGCCGUAACAC
rnacentral:rRNA from 1 species